rnacentral:rRNA from 1 species
CCUACGGGCGGCAGCAGUGGGGAAUAUUGCACAAUGGGCGCAAGCCUGAUGCAGCCAUGCCGCGUGUGUGAAGAAGGCCUUCGGGUUGUAAAGCACUUUCAGCGGGGAGGAAGGCGGUGAGGUUAAUAACCUCAUCGAUUGACGUUACCCGCAGAAGAAGCACCGGCUAACUCCGUGGCCAGCAGCCGCGGUAAUACGGAGGGUGCAAGCGUUAAUCGGAAUUACUGGGCGUAAAGCGCACGCAGGCGGUCUGUCAAGUCGGAUGUGAAAUCCCCGGGCUCAACCUGGGAACUGCAUUCGAAACUGGCAGGCUAGAGUCUUGUAGAGGGGGGUAGAAUUCCAGGUGUAGCGGUGAAAUGCGUAGAGAUCUGGAGGAAUACCGGUGGCGAAGGCGGCCCCCUGGACAAAGACUGACGCUCAGGUGCGAAAGCGUGGGGGGCAAACAGGAUUAGAUACCCUAGUAGUC